UUAGGAAUCUUGCGCAAUGGGCGAAAGCCUGACGCAGCAACGCCGCGUGGGGGAUGAAGGCUCUCGGGUUGUAAACCCCUUUCAGCAGGGACGAUUGUGACGGUACCUGCAGAAGAAGGACCGGCCAACUACGUGCCAGCAGCCGCGGUAAUACGUAGGGUCCGAGCGUUGUCCGGAUUCAUUGGGCGUAAAGAGCUCGUAGGCGGUUUCGUAAGUCGGAUGUGAAAACUCAGGGCUCAACCCGGAGACGCCAUCCGAUACUGCGAUGACUGGAGUCUGGUAGGGGAUCACGGAAUACCUGGUGUAGCGGUGAAAUGCGCAGAUAUCAGGUGGAACACCGAUGGCGAAGGCAGUGAUCUGGGCCAGUACUGACGCUGAGGAGCGAAAGCGUGGGGAGCAAACAGGAUUAGAUACCCUGGUAGUCCACGCCGUAAACGUUGGGCACUAGGUGUGGGUCCUCAUCAACGGGAUCCGUGCCGUAGCUAACGCUAAG
rnacentral:rRNA from 1 species